rnacentral:rRNA from 1 species
AUGAUGAGUUUUGAAGGCCAUUUUCUCUUCGUCGCCCGGCCUCAUACGAAUCUGGUGGUAGCCGGCGCGAAGAUCGAGCUUGGAAAAGAACUUGGCGCCGGUGAGCUCAUCCAGCAGCUCGUCGAUGAUGGGCAGAGGGAAGCGAUUCUUGACAAUGAGGUCGUUGAGCUGACGAUAGUCCACACAGAAGCGCCACGUGUCGUCUUUCUUUUUGACCAGCAGUACGGGAGCAGCGAAGGGGCUCAUGUUGUGCUCAAUCACUCCGGUCUCGAGCAUCUCUCGAACUUGUCACUCAAUCUCAUCCUUCUGCAAUGGUGA